UAGGGAAUCUUCCGCAAUGGACGAAAGUCUGACGGAGCAACGCCGCGUGAGUGAUGAAGGCUUUCGGGUCGUAAAACUCUGUUGUUAGGGAAGAACAAGUGCUAGUUGAAUAAGCUGGCACCUUGACGGUACCUAACCAGAAAGCCACGGCUAACUACGUG
rnacentral:rRNA from 113 species